rnacentral:lncRNA from 1 species
UGGACUUGUCAGAUGGACUGCUUCUGGAGCAGACCUAGAAGUGCUAGAAGGAAAAUACUGAUAAUGAAACUGAGGCUACAGUGUGAUCUCAGUCAUUAUAAGCCAUACAUUGUCUGCUCAUCUUGGAAUCAUCCAAAUGCUGGCCAGAGGGUGAGGAGACUUUGA